GCCCGCCGGCGGGACAGAAUUGGAGACGGUUCCCGUGUCGACCUUGUGUCUUCACUGCGGCCGUGGCUCCAAUUUAUUCUGGAUGCGCGGGGCUCGGCCUCUUCCUCCGGCCCGGAGAAGAAUGGGGUGCAGGGCCCAGGCCGGCGGGACGCCCCGCACGGUCCCUGGGCUCCCCACGUAGUGCAGCUACCGCUAGGACUUAGGGAUCCUCAAGGACCCAAAUGUGGAACUGACGAUGACAUCACAGCCCUGAGAUCACAGCUUUACCUGUAAUAACCAGAACCUGGCAAGACUCAACAAGUGGCAGGUGGAGGGGGACAUGGCUAAAGAAAACUACAGCAUGCUGGCCUGGUCCAUAGGUGUGUACUUAGAGAUGGAUACAGGUUCUAUGAAGCCUUUGUGAAUAUAGUCUCAACAUUUAACUGCUUUAA